rnacentral:rRNA from 1 species
AACAAGGUAGUCGUAGGGGAACCUGUGUCUGUAGAGU